rnacentral:rRNA from 1 species
GCGACACCCAAAUGGGCGCUGGAGAGAGUGGACAAGGGUUGUCGGGCAUUCUUUUGGGCCGGAACCGAGGCGGUGAAUGGAGGCAAAUGUGUCGUCUCAUGGGAUAGGGUGUGCAGGCCCAAGCACUUGGGAGGUUUGGAUGUUAUAGACUUGUCUAAACACGACAUCGCCUUAAGACUAAGAUGGGAAUGGCUUAGACGCAUGGAUGAUUCCAGACCGUGGCAAGGCCUCAACUUGACCGCGGACAAAAAGGUGGACCAAGCCUUUGGGAGUUUAGUCAAAUGGGAAGUUGGCUCAGGAAGCAAGACCUUGUUCUGGAAAGACCGAUGGAUACAUGGAGGAGCUAUUAAAGAUUUUGCACCCUUGGUCGUGGCAAAGGUGCGGACUCAAGUGACAAAC